rnacentral:misc_RNA from 1 species
UCCGUCAAUUCAUUUGAGUUUUAACCUUGCGGCCGUACUCCCCAGGCGGGACACUUAUUGCGUUAGCUACGGCACAGAGGGGGUCGAUACCCCCUACACCUAGUGUCCAUCGUUUACGGCGUGGACUACCCGGGUAUCUAAUCCCGUUCGCUCCCCUAGCUUUCGUCCCUGAGCGUCAGAAAAGACCCAGUGAGCCGCUUUCGCCACCGGUGUUCCUGAUGAUAUCAACGCAUUUCACCGCUCCACCAUCAGUUCCGCUCACCUCUGUCUCUCUCGAGCCAAGUAGUUUUGAAUGCAGUUCCUCGGUUAGGCCGAGGUAUUUCACACCCAACUUUCUUGGCCGCCUACGGACUCUUUAAGCCCAGUAAAUCCGAAUAACGUUCGGGUGGUACGUCUUACC